GUAAAUUUUACACAAAAAUGGCAAGAAAUAAAUUGUAAUACACUUUUAAGACAAGACUGAAUCUAUGUUUUAAUAUCAAUAUAACUUUGAAAUUAAUUAUUUUCAAGUUUUAUGCAGAGCAAGAAAGCUUUUUUAAAUGGAGGGCUCUAAAUUUUCUUUCAUAUGGGAUAUUUACGUAGAGAUGAAUUAUGCUUAAGAAAAGCAUCGUGGCUAAGUGGGAAUCUAUUUAGAUCCUUAAUAUUGUAACAUAGAGUGCCAAUAAUAGCUAUUAACAUAUUACAUUUCCUUUCACAAAUCCCAGAAAUUAGCUAAGACAACAUUUUCUCAAAAGAGAAUAGUGUAUCUUGCAUACAUACAUAAAUAUAAAAAUCUGAAUGCCCAGGACCAGUUACUACCAGUUGAAAGCAAAAAUUUCAUUAGAAAAAAGUGAGUUAAGAUCAUCCAAAAUAAAAUUUCAAGGAACUUUUAACUAAUUCACAUCAAAUAAUUAAAGAACCUUUCAUGCUUCUACAUUUGAAACCUUUGUUUGGUGACGUAUCACAACAGACUACUUUCAGGAGUUAAUGAGCAAAUGUUCGGACCCUAGUUACUGUUCAGUGAUAUUAGAUACACAUUGAAGUUAAGUCACUGAACAUAAUAAUAAAGCAGCAUUAACUACAAUUUUAGGGACCUUCUCAGAGAAUAAAAAGGCAAGAGAGAUGAAAGCGUAAGUGCAGUCAAAUCUUAGCCACAAUAUCUUCUUUUCCUGUCUAAUCUCUGAUUUUCCCCAUUAUCAAGAUUUUUUUUUGGAGAACACACACUGACCAAUUUUUAUCUAUAUUUAAACAAAUAAAUCUAUUACUACUCAGAUCAAAAUACUAUUAUACCAUGAACAAAAUGCUUUAUAAGAGUUUUGAAUGUAAUAAAUCUUGAAAUAUUUAAAAAUAAGCUUAAAAUUAUCAUAAAGGCAUUGACAACAUGAAUAAGUCAAAAAAGAACAUAAUGUUUGAAAUAAUGUGGAGUUUUCAAUGAAUGUUGCAAAAAAAAAAAAUAAGUGACUGUAGGUGUAAAGUAGUACAGAAGAGGGAAAUAAAGAUAACUUCUGUCCACUUUAGCUUUUAACAUGCAAUGCUUUCCCUUCAACUCCUGAAACUAUCACACUGUCAGGGAAGAGGCACCAAAUUGUACAGAAUGACAACACUUGUAUAAGGGUAAUGGAAACUAACCAAGCCACUUGACAAUGCUCUACCCAUGUGUUCCAAAAGUCACCAAAAUAGAAGUGCUUUCUAAAAUUCAGCACUAAUGUUAAGAUAAUACACACCAAACAUUACUAGAUAAAAAAUUUCUUCCACAUUGCUAGCACGUAAGUCACAUAAACAUUAAGUUAUUAAGCCUGAAUGUUAGGGAUGACACUUGAUAUUCAGAGAAUAUGGUUUAUGGCUAAGUUUCACGAACAUCUUUGCUCAUGAAAAAAUCUGAAAUUAACAUAUGAAGGUAUUACCCCAAAAAAAGGAAGGAAAAAGCUAGAGCUUCUCAGGUUAUUAACACUUACUAGCAUUUCUUCUUACAUAAAUUUAUGAAUACGUGGGUAGAAAAAGCAUUUCUACCCCGAAUCUAGUUUUAUUACCCAAAACAUCAACACAGCUUUACAAACCCCUUAAAACCAACUACUCCUCAACUCUCCUUGCUCCACUACUUUGUAAUAAUCAGCACUUCUCUCCCAUUCAGGUACUUGCAAGUCAGAUUCUUAAAUGACAUAAAACAUAUUCUAAAACUUAUGCCCCGCCCCCCCAUUGCCCUAUUUAUGACUGUUAAAAUGUAGCAAACAUGUUUUGUUUAAAGUUCAAAGUUUGACUCUUCUAUAUUAUCUUGUUUUCUUACAUUGUUAUAAUUAUUAAUGACCACUGACAGUGGCCAGUGACAGGAACUGUUCUUGCAGGGUCUGCAGAUCCCUACUCUAUGGCUGCGCAGACUCAUGUUCUAACAGCAGCUGAUGAAGAGACUUCUGUUGCUCUUGAUUUAAGAUGAGCCCAAUACUUCUUUAAGACAUUUUUCAGACUAAUGAAAACUAGGCAAUUAUGACUAUUUCCAUUAGGCAAGACAAUGUUUGCACAUAAAUCAUUCCACACAUUCAGGAACUUACAACUACCCUACAAAAUACCUUCUUCCUUUUACAUCCAUAUUUUUAUACCAAUGUUUAAGAAAAACGAACUGAAGGUACAUAGGAAACUAAAAUCAAGGUUUCCUGACAGCUAUAUUAGUGUCCUAUCCCAGAAGUUACUACAAAGCUAUAAACUAUUUACUCAAUCUUUUUCAUGACUAUUUUAUACAACAUCUUUGUCUUUUUGAUUAAUGUAUAUAAAGACAAAAAAAUUACAGCCAGAAUUAAUAAGCUAUCAGUAACAGCAAAAGGGGAAAGAAUGUUUCCCCAAAUGUCAUUUUGUUUUCCAGCAAAAUGUUUGAUGCUUCUAAUCCUUAACUAAAAUAAAUUCAGAGCAGAGUGGUUAAUAAAAUUUUGAGCUUAAAUAAGCUUAAAUUUAUAGUAAAGGCAUUAAUAAUAUGAAUAAGUAUGCAGCAUUCUUUUUCUAGCUAUCAGUUUCUUCCAGAUUGUAAAUAAAAUUUCUAUAACCUGGACUUUACAUGACUUUUCAAGAAUUUAGCAUAAUCUACAGAAUGAAAAGGUUGGACUAGAUAAUCUCUAAAUCCCUUUCCACUCUAUGACUUUAUAAUUCCAGCUUUUAUUGUGGUUUCUUCCUAUUCUUUAACCUAAAAAAUAAGAAUACAAAGGACAAAAUAAAUACCAAAUUAACUUGGUAACUUUAGUCCCAAAUCUUUGAAUUUCUUCAAAAAUGUUCAAAAUAAAACCACUGUUUCUUUAGUGAUUCAUGGGUAUAGUGCCAUAUAUCACUUCUUCCACAUUUCUUGAGCAGUACUAUUCCAAAAAGAAUCAAGUUUUCUUCUAUAUAGACCCCCGAGAGCAAAAUCAUUAUGACAAAUACAGUACUAGAAAUAAAGUUACUGUAAAAAUUACAAAUAGAUUUAUAGAAGAAAAUCUGAUUUUCAUCAUGUAUAUAAUUGUUCCAGCCAAAGAAAGCAAUAUAUGCAAAAUUAUGUUGAAUAAAAAUGACAUAUGCCUAAGGAAGGGGGAGUUUUUAGAUGUGUAAGUAAUGAAGACAGUAGUUAAUGCACAAAACAUAAGAAUCCUUGAGGGAUGUCUUGCAAAUACCCAUACUAACAGCACCAAAUCUACUCCUUAGGAAUUGCAAAGUAACAGAUUUGUAACAAAAACUACAAAAACAAUUUUGCAAGGAUGUAUUAAAAAUCCUUAUUGAGCCUAUAAAGCAGGAACUAUAAAGACAGUUCUUUUUAUUUUACCACCAUUCUUACACUAUCCUUUCUUUUUCAGAUUCCAGAACUGCCACUCAAAGUGCCCUAUGAGGAGCUGUGGUAACAAGGAAAUGUUCUCAUGACUCAAAAAUCAGUGGAAAAAGGUACAGGAUGAGAAGCCUUGUUUCCCAACCCUAUCAACAGGUACUCACUUUCAUUAAUUUUCUGUGUAUUUUUCCAGUUUCUUUUCAUACACAAGCAAAUAUUGAUAAAUUCUUAUUUUUCUUCCUUUAAAAAAUGGUAGAUUAUGCACACUGUACUGCACCUUGCUCUACUAACAUAUCAUGAACUUUUCUCAUGCCUGUGAUAUAAAAAUAAUGUAUUUUAUUUUUUAAGAGACAGAGUCUCGCUCUGUUCCCCAGGUUGUAGUGCAACGGCACAACCUCUGCUCACUGCAUCCUCAACCUCUUGGGCUCAAGCAAUCCUCCUGCCUCAGCCUCCUGAAUAGAUGGGAACAUAGGAGCAUGCCACCAUGCUUGGCUAAUUUUUGUAUUUUUUGUUGAGACAAGGUCUCACUAUGUUGCCCAGGGUAAAAAUAAUUUCAGUUGGAGGAAGGCAGUGGAGAAUCAAUAAAAACCAACAAGGAUUUGGACUGGUGAAAGAAAAUACGCAUCCUCAUACUUCAUAGUGGGAAUCAAUAGGUAGACUUUUCUGAAGCAGAGAGGAAAUAAGGGUUUAGGCAUACAUUUUUUUUUUUUUUUUUGAGACAGAGUCUCACUCUGUCACCCAGGCUGGAGUGCAGUGGCACGAUCUUGGCUCACUGCAAUCUCCGCCUCCUGGGUUCAAGCAAUUCUCCUGCCUCAGCCUCCCGAGUAGCUAGGAUUAUAGACACCUACCACUAUGCCCAGCUAAUUUUUUGUAUUUUUAGUAGAGAUGGGGUUUCACCAUGUUGGCCAGGCUUGUCUUGAACUCCUAACCUUGUGAUUUGCCCGCCUCGACCUCCCAGAGUGCUGGGAUUACAGGCCACCAUGCCCAGCCAAGGGUUUAAGCAUACUUAAACAGGUAUUCACAAGUAGAACUAACAAUAUUUUACAUCUUUCAAGCUUCUUUGGUGGGAGGGGCAGCAACCUAGUAAAAGAUAUAAAACAAAGGAAAUAGCCAGAAAAACAUAAAAUAUAAGGCCGAAACAACUUAAUUAUUUAGCCACAUGAAGCUUUUUCCAUGACAUGUCCAUAAACACCCAGCUAAAGGUUUCCUGCAGAUAGUACAAGCAAAAACUCAAAAGAGAACAUAUUUACUGGCUCAUGUAGUUAUGAUGAGGAUAUUAGUGCAGAUCAGAGAAUCAAAGGGCCAGGAUGUCAGGAAAUGAGGUCAGAUGUUAGAGCUGCCAGGUCUGACAAUGCAAAAAGUGUUAAAUACCACUUAUUUAUCCUGAUCACUGCAUAUAGUCAUAAAUAUUUUCAUUAAUGAAUAAAACUAAAGAUAAAUUAAUCACUUAGGAAGAUAAAAGGAAGAAUACCAAAAUUUAGAAAAAAGAAUUAUAAGAUAGUAUACAGAUAAAAAACAGGCCCAAUAAAGAAACUAAAAUGCUGCUAACUAUCCAAAAGAGUGCUGCUAUUAAUUCUUUAGAUAUAGAUGAAUUACUUCUAAUCUUCAAGUAACAUUAAAGUGUAACACUAUAUCAACUGUUCUAGAGCACAGCAAAAGAUGAAAAGCUUAAUUUUUUUGAAACAAAAUAAAAUCGAAACCAAAGCCUGGGAGAGAUGAUAUAAAACAAAUUUAAAACCCCAUAUGCCAAUCUCAUUUUAAAAGAGACACUAUUCAACAUUAGGAAAUCUACUAAUAUAGUUUAUUGAAGUGAAGGAAAAAUCCUAUAAAAAUCCCAUGAUAGAAAAAAAAAAUCCCACGAUAGAAACCAAAAGUGCACGGUGAAAUUCAACAUUCAUAUCUACUACAGAAACAACAAAAUAAAUUUUAAAAAAGAAAAAUAUAAAUUAAAAAAAAGAAAUUCAACAUUCAUUCCUUUAUAUGACACACAUAUUCUCAGAUAUUUUUCAAAUCAACAAUCAGCAUUAUCGUUAAUGGUGAAACACUCCUGUAGCAUUAAUUCCAGUGAAGCAGGAAACAAGUCAAAAGUAGUUGUUAGCAUCACUACUGUUUAAUGCUCUUUCAGAAAUUCUAGUCAAUGUAGGCUAGGCGUGGUAGCUCACGCCUAUAAUCCCAGCACUUUGGGAGGCGGUGGGGGGCGCGGAUCACCUGAGGUCGGGAGUUCGAGACCAGCCUGACCAACAUGGAGAAACCCCGUCUCUACUAAAAAUACAAAAUUAGCGGGUGUGGUGGCUCACUCCUGUAAUCCCAGCUACUCGGGAGGCUGAGGCAGGAGAAUCGCUUGAACGCAGGAGGCAGAGGUUGCAGUGAGCCGAGAUUGCACCAUUUUGCACUCCAGCCUGGGCAACAAGAGCGAAACUCUGUCUCAAAAAAAAAGGAAAUUCUAGUCAAUGUAAGUAGAUAAGAGGACAAUAGGAGAGAUUUACAAGUAAAAAAGAGCAUAUUUAUCACCAUUUGAAA
rnacentral:lncRNA from 1 species